rnacentral:rRNA from 1 species
UACGUAGGCAGCAAGCGUUGUUCGGAAUUACUGGGCGUAAAGAGUGUGUAGGCGGUGUUCUAAGUUUGGUGUGAAAUCUCCCGGCUCAACUGGGAGGGUGCGCCGAAAACUGGAAUGCUAGAGUAUGGGAGAGGUAAGCGGAAUUCCUGGUGUAGCGGUGAAAUGCGUAGAUAUCAGGAGGAACACCGAUGGCGAAGGCGGCAUCCUGGACCGAUAUUGACGCUGAGGAGCGAAAGCGUGGGGAGCGAACAGG